CUUUAGGUAUGCCCCAGACCAGUCAGAACAGACACAUAAUAAUUUGCGGGUAAGAUCUUCUCUUUUUCCUUUGGACCAUGGACCAGGGUUCCUCACUGGGAACGUGGGCUUCUGACACUUCAAAACUGCCAAUUUGCUGGGGCAAAGGUCUGCCAGCAACAACUUCAGUUAAUAUUUCUGUUUAUCUGGGUUGCCAAGAACUGAAUCAAAAUGUGAGGGAAAGCAAGCACCUGCAAGGAGAAAGAGGACAGAUGCACUUACAUAGGACAGAUGCAAAUAGACACCACUAUGACAAGUAAAACUGGA
rnacentral:lncRNA from 10 species